rnacentral:rRNA from 1 species
UAGGGAAUCUUCGGCAAUGGACGGAAGUCUGAUCGAGCAACGCCGCGUGAGUGAAGAAGGUUUUCGGAUCGUAAAGCUCUGUUGUUAGAGAAGAACGAUGGUAGGAGUGGAAAAUCUACCAAGUGACGGUAACUAACCAGAAAGGGACGGCUAACUACGUGCCAGCAGCCGCGGCAAUACGUAGGUCCCGAGCGUUGUCCGGAUUUAUUGGGCGUAAAGCGAGCGCAGGCGGUUCUUUAAGUCUGAAGUUACAGGCAGUGGCUUAACCAUUGUACGCUUUGGAAACUGGAGGACUGGGGUGCAGAAGGGGAGAGUGAAAUUCCAGUUGUAGCGAUGAAAUGCGUAAAUAUAUGGGGGAACCCCGGUGGCGAAAGCGGCUCUCUGGUCUGUAACUGACGCUGAGGCUCGAAAGCGUGGGGAGCAAACAGG